rfam:Lactobacillus siliginis strain DSM 22696 Scaffold16, whole genome shotgun sequence.
UCAAGUAAAUUAAUUUUACCUAAGACUCAGGUGGUUUCGACCUUAAUAUCCUGCCGAGGCAAAGCAAUUCGUGAGAAUGACUUUGAGCCCGCUGUCUUAGGACAGCGGGAUUUUUAUUAGGUAAA